AGAUUGAACGCUGGCGGCAUGCCUAACACAUGCAGGUCGAGCGGCAGCGCGGGGGCGACCCUGGUGGCGAGUGGCGAACGGGUGAGUAAUGCAUCGGAACGUAUCCUUGAGUGGGGGAUAACGCAGCGAAAGUUGUGCUAAUACCGCAUAAGCUCUGAGGAGGAAAGCGGGGGACCGAAAGGCCUCGCGCAGACGAGGAGUCGAGCCGACUGUUCCGAUUAGUUAGGUUGGNGGGGUAAAAGGCCUACCAAGGCUACGAUCGGUAGCUGGUCUGAGA
rnacentral:rRNA from 1 species